rnacentral:rRNA from 1 species
CCUACGGGGUGCAGCAGUGGGGGAUAUUGCACAAUGGGGGAAACCCUGAUGCAGCGACGCCGCGUGGGUGAAGAAGCGCCUCGGCGCGUAAAGCCCUGUCAGCAGGGAAGAAAAUGACGGUACCUGAAGAAGAAGCCCCGGCUAACUACGUGCCAGCAGCCGCGGUAAUACGUAGGGGGCAAGCGUUAUCCGGAUUUACUGGGUGUAAAGGGGGCGCAGACGGCGAUGCAAGCCAGGAGUGAAAGCCCGGGGCCCAACCCCGGGACUGCUCUUGGAACUGCGUGGCUAGAGUGCAGGAGGGGAAGGCGGAAUGCCUGGUGUAGCGGUGAAAUGCGUAGAUAUCAGGAGGAACACCGGUGGCGAAGGCGGCCUGCUGGACUGCAACUGACGUUGAGGCCCGAAAGCGUGGGGAGCAAACAGGAUUAGAUACCCCAGUAGUC